UACGUAGGGGGCAAGCGUUGUCCGGAUUUAUUGGGCGUAAAGAGCGUGUAGGCGGCUUUACAGGUCCGUUGUGAAAACUCGAGGCUCAACCUCGAGACGCCGGUGGAAACCGUAAGGCUAGAGUCCGGAAGAGGAGAGUGGAAUUCCUGGUGUAGCGGUGAAAUGCGCAGAUAUCAGGAGGAACACCGAUGGCGAAGGCAGGUCUCUGGGCCACUACUGACGCUGAGAAGCGAAAGCGUGGGGAGCGAACAGG
rnacentral:rRNA from 1 species